UACGGAGGGUGCAAGCGUUGUUCGGAAUUAUUGGGCGUAAAGGGCGUGUAGGUGGCAUCCCAAGUCUGGUGUGAAAUCCCACGGCUCAACCGUGGAACUGCAUUGGAAACUGGGACGCUCGAGGGUUGGAGGGGGUCGCGGAAUUCCCGGUGUAGAGGUGAAAUUCGUAGAUAUCGGGAGGAACACCAGUGGCGAAGGCGGCGACCUGGCCAAUCACUGACACUGAGACGCGAAAGCGUGGGGAGCAAAC
rnacentral:rRNA from 1 species